rnacentral:rRNA from 1 species
GUGCUUAACACAUGCAAGUCGAACGAUGAACCGGUUUCGGCCGGGGAUUAGUGGCGAACGGGUGAGUAACACGUGGGCAAUCUGCCCUGCACUCUGGGAUAAGCCCGGGAAACUGGGUCUAAUACCGGAUACGACACAUGAGCGCAUGCUCGUGUGUGGAAAGUUCCGGCGGUGCAGGAUGAGCCCGCGGCCUAUCAGUUUGUUGGUGGGGUAGUGGCCUACCAAGACGACGACGGGUAGCCGGCCUGAGAGGGUGACCGGCCACACUGGGACUGAGACACGGCCCAGACUCCUACGGGAGGCAGCAGUGGGGAAUAUUGCACAAUGGGCGAAAGCCUGAUGCAGCGACGCCGCGUGAGGGAUGACGGCCUUCGGGUUGUAAACCUCUUUCAGCAGGGAAGAAGCGAAAGUGACGGUACCUGCAGAAGAAGCACCGGCUAACUACGUGCCAGCAGCCGCGGUAAUACGUAGGGUGCAAGCGUUGUCCGGAAUUAUUGGGCGUAAAGAGCUCGUAGGCGGCCUGUCGCGUCGAUUGUGAAAGCCCAGGGCUUAACCCUGGGUCUGCAGUCGAUACGGGCAGGCUAGAGUUCGGUAGGGGAGAUCGGAAUUCCUGGUGUAGCGGUGAAAUGCGCAGAUAUCAGGAGGAACACCGGUGGCGAAGGCGGAUCUC